rnacentral:tRNA from 1 species
CCUUCGAUAGCUCAGCUGGUAGAGCGGAGGACUGUAGGUGAAAUAUGGCAAUCCUUAGGUCGCUGGUUCAAUUCCGGCUCGAAGGA